GGUUAUAAGAUCCCUCAAAGAUGAUGAGGUUAAUAGGUUCGAGGUGGAAGCAUGGUGACAUGUGGAGCUGACGAAUACUAAUCGAUCGAAGACUUAAUCAAA
rnacentral:rRNA from 1 species